rnacentral:rRNA from 1 species
GUGUCAGCAGCCGCGGUAAUACGAGGGGGGCAAAUGUUGUUCGGAAUCACUGGGCGUAAAGGGAGCGUAGGCGGGUUUCUAAGUCAGGUGUUUAAUCCCGGGGCCCAACCCCGGACAGGCACUUGAAACUGGGAAUCUUGAAUAGUGGAGAGGUCAGUGGAAUUGGGGGUGUAGCGGUGGAAUGCGUAGAGAUCCCCAAGAACACCAGUUGCGAAGGCGGCUGACUGGACACAUAUUGACGCUGAGGCUCGAAAGCAUGGGGAGCAAACAGGAUUAGAUACCCGAGUAGUCC